UGUGCGUGUGUCUGGGGAUCUGUGUUUAGCUUCUUCGUUUCUUAAACAGCACAGGGGCAGCAGCCAGGCACGCUUUCUGGCUGCAUUGUUUGCUGCUAGCGAGAGAGAUUGUGAGUGGGGAGCAGCAUGGCAGAACAAGAAGCCAGUGGCUUGAAAGUCCUUCUUUCCACCCUCCAGAGCUCCUGUGACAAGGAUGUCCUCCUGAAUAUCCUCAGUGUCCUCACUGACCUGCUCUCUUUAGGGACUGGACGAAGAAUUCACUAUGUGAUCAGCAAAGGGGGUAGUGAGGCACUGCUGCAGGCCCUCAUCUCUGCUGCCCGGACCGAGCCACCCGACCCCAGCAUCCUCCUGCCUCUGCUUCGCCUCCUGGCCAGGGUUGGCCAACAAGACCGGAAGUUUGGGAUUAAAGUGCAGAAAGCAGAAGCAACUGAUGUAAUUCUGAGCUUGACGAGGCAAAACCUGGGUCACCACCUGAACCUCACCCACUGCCUCUGGGUCCUGCGGGUUUGUGCUUCUAAUGUUGCUGCAGGAACCACGCUUGGCAUCAAUGGAGCCAUGGAGCUGCUUUUCAAAGUCAUCACUCCCUACAGCAAGCAGCACAUCAGGACUGUAAGGGCAGCCAUUGAGGCUCUGGCAGCUUUGCUGAAAUCGAAAUCUAACAGCCGACAAGCAGUGAACAGAGGUUAUCUGGGUGGAUUGCUGAGGCUCUAUCAGGACUGGCAUCACAACGAUGUCUCCAACAACUACAUUUAUAUUCGUAGAGGUCUCCUGCUCUGCCUAAAGCACAUCACCAACAUCCAGCUGGGCAGGGAGACUUUCCUUGGUUCUCGAGGUAUGGAGAUUCUCUUCACAAGCGUGCAGGACUGUUUAUCUUGCAAGAAUCUGGAUCCAAUUGUAACCACUGUGACUCAGAUUCUACGGAAGUGCUACCCCAAGGAGCCUCUGCCUCUGGUGACAGUGAGAAGUUGCUAUUCCUUCCCUCUUCCUGGGAACGUCAAGACUGAACGUCCAUGUAUGGGAUCUGAAGGUAAAUUGCUGAAGGAUGAUAAUGAAAGUGAUAGUGAGGAAGACAUGGAGAAAGACCUGAAUAAAGAUGAUGUGGAGGGUAAAGAGGAAGAUUAUGAUUUGGAGACAGAUGUAAACAAAUUGAGGUCAAGGCCAGGGCUUGACCGGCCAGAGGAAGAGCUUGGGCAAUAUGAAGCUAUGUGUCCAGAACUUUCCCGUAAUUUUCAGGAGUUUGAUUCAGAGUCCGAAGAAGAGAAGAAGUCAGAAGACAGGGCUGAGAAUCUUCCCUCCACUUCAUCUCAUUUCAUUCCAAGUGGUAAUUCUGUGAAAGAUCCAAACCAUAGAUGGAGGACCCAAAGUGACACAGAGGCAGAAUCAGAUCCACGGGAGAAGGAUUUCAAAGCUUCACUGCAGAGUUCAAUAAAGAAGGAGAAAUGCUCAAGGAGUCUGCUCAGUGAAAAGAGAGAGAUUGCUGAAACAGUCCAAAAUGCAAAUUCCUAUGAAGAAGAGCCAGCCAAGAGUCAUACAUUUUCUCCAUGUCCCCUCCCCAAAGAAGCUGCUUGGUACAAAAAAAUAUUUAACCCUGAGUGUGAGGCUUCAAUUGAUCCUACUUCUGGAGUCAGAUCAGAGACCGCAGAAAUAAUGACAGACCUUCUGGAGGAACACCAAGGGAAUAUUCCAUUCCACAGCCCUCACUUCUACAUAGCCAGGGCCAAAUGUACCAAGUCCAUACCAGCCUACAGAGACUUGGCAUUCCCUGAUUUCUGGGGCCACCAGCCUCCUGUUUAUGGCACGCCCAUGCUGGAUCGGCAAUAUGGAGUUCAAAGGGACAAAGUUCUUGAUGAUAUUCGUCGCUUAAUCCAGCCUUGUGAUUUGAUUGGAAGAACUGUUUUUGAUUUAGAUGAGCCCAGUCACUCAAGCCCAGGUGCUCCAAGCUGUCUGACAUUCUUCUCCAAGUUUGAAUCGGGUAACCUUCGCAAAGCCAUCCAAGUGCGUGAGUUUGAGUAUGAUUUAAUUAUGAAUGCAGAUGUGAACACCAGCCAGCAUCACCAGUGGUUCUACUUUCAAGUCCGUGGCAUGAAAUCAGCAGUUCCCUAUCGCUUCAAUGUUAUCAACUGUGAGAAGCUCAAUAGCCAGUUUAAUUACGGCAUGCAGCUGGUUCUGUAUUCAGUGAAGGAAGCUCUCCAGGGCAGGCCUCGCUGGCUUCGAGCAGGACAUGAUAUCAGCUACUACAAAAACCACUACCGCUGCAGUGCAGCUCCAGGAGGAGGCUCAAGAGGAAAAUGCUAUUACACUCUCACCUUCAGCAUCAAGUUCCCUCACGAAGAUGAUGUCUGCUAUCUGGCCUACCAUUACCCCUACACCUACUCUGCAAUGAUGUCCCAUCUUGAUGUCCUGGAACAAAGCAGGAACCCCAAGAAGGUCUACUGGAGGCAACAAGCGCUUUGCCAGACACUAGGAGGAAAUACAUGCCCAUUGCUCACAAUCACUGCUAUGCCAGAAUCUAAAACAAGUGAUGACUUGGAACAAUUCUACAGUCGUCCUUAUGUCUUUCUGAUGGCCCGUGUUCACCCCGGUGAAAGCAACGCCAGCUGGGUAAUGAAGGGGACCCUGGAGUUCCUGGUGAGCAGUGAUCCCAUUGCUGAUCUCCUGAGGAAAUGUUUCAUUUUCAAGAUUGUCCCCAUGCUCAACCCUGAUGGAGUCAUCAAUGGCAACCACCGUUGUUCCUUGAGUGGAGAUGAUCUGAACAGACAGUGGCUGACGCCCAGUUCUCAACUUCAUCCAACAAUUUACCACACCAAAGGUCUUCUGUAUUAUCUGCGCAGCAUCGGCCGGGCCCCUCUGGUAUUCUGUGACUACCAUGGCCACUCCCAGAAAAAGAAUGUGUUCCUCUAUGGUUGCAGCAUCAAGGAGACUUUGUGGCAAGCAGGCUGCAUGGUUGACACAGCAGUUAUCACAGAAGAUGUUGGCUACAGGACUCUUCCUAAAAUCCUGGACAAAGUGGCCCCUGCGUUUGUCAUGAACAGCUGCAGCUUCCUUGUGGAAAAGUCCCGCAAGUCGACGGCCCGGGUGGUGGUGUGGCAGGAAAUGGGUGUGCUGAGGAGCUACACCAUGGAGAGCACGUACUGCGGCUGCAGCCACGGCCUCUACAAAGGCUUGCAGCUGGGAACUCAAGAGCUGGAGGAGAUGGGAAGCAAGUUUUGCCUUGCUCUGCUCAUUCUGCACCUCAAAUCCUUGCCCUGCAGCAAGAAGGUGAUGGCUCAGGCAGCGCUACUCCUAGAUCUGGAGGAAGAAAUAACAAUAACAGACCGGGCACAAAGAUCUCCUGUGUGUUGCUGACUGAGUCACUUAGCCUUGGCUCCCAGCCUCAGUUCUGAUGCGAAACCAGAGCACGGUGUUGGUUCCUCAUAGCAAAUACAGCAAGGCACGAGUGACAUGGGUCAUGUUGGUCACUUGUUACAGCCAUGCUGGGACGUGGGAGCUUGCAUUGUUUUAUGAUCGUGAGCCUGGGUCUCCAUUAUGAUUACACUGCAAUGAGUGCCGAGACUGUGCCUGGAAAUUGGAUCAUCUGAGCCUUGAACAAUACCUGCUGCUUUUCCCAAUGAGUCAGAAGCCAGCCUACUUCUGCAGAGCUUCACCACCAUGUUUGGACCCAGGUGCAGCCCAGACAACACUGAAACCCUGGAAAUCUGCUGGCAGUGACUAAUGUUCCUCUCCUUCCCCCUCUGUGCUGUGGUCCUGUUUACCCAAGAUUCUGCCAAGGCUUCCAUCGCAGACAUGAAGAAAUCUGGAAAGCCACCUCCACGCCCUGACGUAGCACUACAGCAGAGCCCUGAAGUGGCAGCUGUGAAAUGCAGAACAGCCAGACAAAGCUGGUAACAUGUUUGUACAGCCCAGGGUGUCAGGAGGAAUCAGCUCCACGGAGCAGACAAGGAGACCGAGAAGUGAAGUUUUAGGUUCUCUCCUUGGUUUGCUACAUUGCAAAGCAAGCUGUCCUCGAGUCCUCUGGGAAGUCUCUGCACAACAAUUAUCCCUCUCUUCGAGUCUGAAACGGAAUUACUGCACAGGAAUCUGGCGAGGUUCAGAGAAACACUGAAAGAUUCUUGCAUUAGAGACUUCAAAGUGUGACCCUGUGAAUGCCAGAGGCCAGCUAGCACCUUCCUGCAGAAGCACGUAUCGGGUCUUGACCACAGAGGGUGGUUAGUGUGCAGCACUGCAGUACGCACAACCCAACCUGCUGCAAAAUUGCUCCCCGAGAUGGAUCCCCUCCAUUGAGGACAAUGUGGGGCACAACGCUGUGCUUGGGAAGAUGCUUUCCUUUGAAAUAAGGCUGAGCUACAAGGAAAACUGCCUGCAGAAGAGCUUUGCUGAAUUUAAGUGCGCAGAGCUCUGGGGCAGAUGAUGGAGUGGUGUUCUCACCCUGGCCUGGAGAUGAACCUGUCUGUGAAGAGAACUAGAGACAAUUUCUCCAUUACAUAACCCGGCCUCAACUCCGCUGAAGCUGUUAACAAAGGGCUAACAGCACGGUUUUGUGAUGUGAUUCCUUUCCAAUUGCGGCUGGAUCCAGAGAAGGUGUUUUAAAGCUGCUGCACAGAGGUACUGAUCUUGCUGUACAUGGAGGAGUCCCCUGGUGUAACGCCAUCUCUCUGUUACUGUCUGUGAUGAACUCGUAAAACAAGGGCUUACAGAUUUUGUCACCAUACGAGAAGCAGGGUCACAGACACAUGGUAUCAAACACAGGCUCCUUCCUCACCUGCUGACCAGAAGGACUCAGCAAUAGUUUAGAACUGUAAGUAAUGAUAUGUUCCCGCAGCUGGCAAUGAAAUAAUCAGGAUUAAGCCCCAAAGGCACAGUUAAAACCAUGCAGCUCACACUGCGGUAAAGGGGAAGAAAACAAUCGGGUGUUUACUUACUGAGCUGUUAAUGAAGUGGUUUUUACUCUGACUAAUCAAAGCUCUUGAGGUGGGUGGUGUUUUGCCUGAAGAAGAGAGGGAGACUUCUGGUCUCUGUGCUUGGAAGGAGAGUAAGGAAGGAACUGCAGGAAGAUAAAAAGAUCUUCUGGCACUUGAAAUAUAUAAAAAUUCUGUGAGUGAUGACCUCUUUAAGGUUCUGGCAUGCAGAUCUCCACACAGACAAGAUCAACCAUUGAUGGAUAGUGCUAGGAGGGUGAGGAGGUUGACGUAUGCUGGCUCCAGAAGGAUCUGAGCCAGGUGCUGAGCUUUGAGACAGCUGGAGCCUGAAGGGAACUAAGCAGCUGUAGAUCUCCAUCCGUACUAUCAAGGACGUGGUCACACAACUAGGCAAGAUUUGUGUCGCUGUCUCCAAGUAACCCUUUCCUUUAAUCCCAGUAAAGGUCAGAAAAGAUGCUGUAUUGGUUUGGGAACUCAUGAACAUGAAGCUUGUUCCCCUCUCUCCACAGUGAAAAGCUGUAUGGCCCCCUGCUUGUCAGACACAUCUAUGCCUUUUCUGUGGUGCUGUCCUGCAGCAUUCUUCAUGUGGGUGCUCUCAGGUGCUGCCAUUUCCUCUCUUCUCCUGCACCAGAGCAAUACGUGCCUUCCUUGCCUUGUGGCUAUGCUUUGUCUGCUCUCAGCCUCAGUGACUCAUUGUAAAAAAUGAUCCAGUUUUCAGAAAGCACAGGGUUCUGUGUCCUCCACUUAAUUAUUGUUUUAUUUUAAUAAGCAAUUAUGUUUCAGAGGCACCUCAGAGCUCCAGGCGUUAACCACUUAUCACCUGCUGAGUGAUUUAGAACUAGUGAAGCACAUCCCAUUUGCAGGUUGGAAUAAGGCCUGAAUCCUAUCAGCAGACAAAUGAGUUCAGAAAAGCUCAAUGUUUGUAACUCCAUUGCUUAGGGAUUCAUCCCCAGGUCCUCAGAGAGAGGCUGAGUGGGCUGGAGGAGCUGUAGGGAUGUCUGUUCCCUUGUUGUUCUGAUAACAAGCAAAGGGCUCAUUAGAGGCUGUGAAAGGGAGAAGACUAUCUGUUGGUUGUUCUAUACAAUUUGCUUUGCCACAGGUAUUCCGUAAGUCUCUCUCAAUUACAGACCACAAAACCCUAGUUGCUCAAUCUACCUACAGCUUGGGGUUCAGUGUGCGAGGUGACAACCUCCACAGUGAGAGGGCAGGGCAGGAAGGCAGUGAGUUUCAGCUCUAGAACUGAUGUCUCUCAGAGCUGAAAUAUUAAGUACAAUUAAUGGUUUCUUCUCAGGACUUAUCUUCCACCACUAAGCCAUUUGUUGAGCUUCCUCCAAGAGCCUGAAACAAACUGGCUACAGCAAUUUGCAAGAAUAAACCUUGAGCGUUUCCAUGGACUGCAUGGAAUCUGAGCACAGGUAUCUGAUAGGGGUGGAUGGGGCUCUUGAGCACCUGAUCACAUGUAGGUGUCCCUGUUCGUUUCAGGGGAGAUGGACUAGAUGGCCUUUAAAGGUUCCUUCCAAUUCAAGUGAUUCUAUGAUUCUACCUUGAAGAUAAACCUGGGUUAUCAAAUACUGACUGGCUUUCUCCUGCAGCUUUUAUGACCUAAAGGUUUCUUUAUUGUCCUCCCACAUCUCCAUGACUUCCAGGUGGCACAGUUGGAAGCCCAUUCAAAAAUAUAAUCCCAUUACAUCUUCUCGUUUUUAAUGUAUGACAUAAAAAAACUAUGCAGCAGGUAGGCCUGCAUUUAACUCCUCGGUUGGAAGGUUCAGCAGCUCAGCCCGUGCAUGCUAUAAAGAAUUAUUAUUGGCAUUAUCUACUGUGUUUGUCAGCACAUGUGCCAUAUGCUCCAAGGUGUAUGUCCUCCACUGAGUCAUUUUACAUCUUCCAUAUGGGGUCUGUCCUCAAGGUUCCACACAGACUCUGAGGUAUUGAGGCAAUAAUGAGAAGGGUAAUAAAUGCAAUAAGGGAAAAAUAGGGCUGAAUCUUGCAGGGAGUCCCUGAGCAGCAGGAAUAGGAGGCUUCUUAAUUCAUUUCCUCCUCUUAUGUUUGGUGAUACAGAGCAGAGGAGGGGUGGGAACAAGACAAGGAUAUUAGAAAAGGAGAAUCCCAUGUCCUUAUUGAGGAGAACGUUUUCCUCCCACUUGCUGCAUGAGGAAUCCUUUGAGUGUAGUACAUUUGAAAGAGUCUUACCUAUGCUGCAGAUGCUUAUUCAAAAUCAUUGUUGCUCUGAAUUAAGGUGAAGAGUACAAUUAUCACUAGCUGUGUCCCCUAAAGUAACUUAAGCUGUUCAGCUGUUGUUUCAAAGCUCCAAGCCUGUGGUCCUGCUCAUUUUCUUCUCCAUAUUGACUUUUUUUUUUUUUUGCCAGAAAUAAGGAGGCGAGCUUUCUUUUUGGGGAAACAGCCAUUUCUAAGCAACAACCAGCCUGAAUUACAUCGUAGCACCCCUUAUGUUCCCACCUAUGCACCAUCAGAAUGAGCCCAACAAGAAGCCUCUGUUCUCUUUACUGUGAUUUUUUGCCUCACCUGUCCAUCUGACCUUCCGCUGUCUAUUUCCUCCUGACCCUAUCUACUCUGAUUUAGAGACUGAUGUUUCCAGUAUAUCUCUUGACAGAAAGAGCAGGAUUCCCAGAAGAGACUCUGUCAGUGCCCAGAAAUGUAGAUUUUGCAGGAGGUGGUCCAGCAAGGUGCAUUUAGGACUUGUUUAUUGCUGGAUCGUUCCUUUCCAGCCUCAGGCCCCCUGGAGCCAGGGAGCCUCAGCUUUUUUCUGCAGCCCUCCUGAUACUCCAGUUUGGAUUUGGGAUGCAGCUCAGCAAAGUUUACCUGUCAUAUCCACAACAAGCUGGGGAUGGCAAUGCUAAUAUUGCAACAUCUUUAGCAGAGCUCGAUGAUAGCAUUUGACCCAAAUUACAAAGGGAAAAGAAGCAGCUCUGUAAAAACUAAAAUGUCUCUGGUCGACGAGUUCUAUUGAAAACAAAAAAAAAAGCUAAGAAUGAAAGGGGCACAUUCUGAUUUCUCUCUUGUCUUAGUGUGAUGUUAUGGGGCUCAGCUAAGCAAUCAUUGCAUAGACCCCGAGGAAUCAGACUAUGUUUGCUGAGAAGGCAACCUUAUGCUUUCAUGGCAGCAGGAGAAAGAGCAGUGUGAAUAGGAUUGCCUAGAAUCAGGUCCCCUUCUCUCUGCUGGAAGCUUAGGGAGAUUGGAAAUGUACUUUAAAUCAAAUAGAUGUACCUGGGCUUUCGGGUUGUGUGGCAUUUUAAUUUUCGUACCCUUCCUUAGAGCUUAACUCAAUGAAGAGAGCGAUGAGAAAUGCUCUGGGACUGACUUGUGAAGACCUGAUGGGGUGUAAAGUAGUGAGUAGACUUGUCAAGGGAAGAUUGUUCAGGGCUAAAUUAAGGUGAGAAAAUAGUGGAUGUACUCACCUUAAGUUGAAAAGUACUCAAGAGUUCCUUGGGUGAAGAUAUUCAGCUGCUUGUUAACAAUACUUACCUUAUGAUCUAUCAACAUUUGUGAAUGCAUCCCUUUACAUACUUUAUGUACAGUCUAUGCAUGUCCUCCAGGCUCACUAUUGUGUUUUCCUGCAACUAGAAAGCAUGGUUCUUUUGAUACACAACAUAAUCUUUGGACAGCUGAAGGGACUCCCUUGCUCCCAGCGCUCAGGGCAAUAGUGAAAUAUUUGCAGUUCAGUGGGAGAUGCUUCUAGGCUGCAUUAAGGAGCAGCAGCCACUAUGUGUGGGAAAGUUAUACAGGCAUCAGUUUAUGCUUGAAGAUCCUGAAAUUGCACAUGUAAGCCAGAUGGAGGUGCGUGGCUUGGCCUUGCAGACACGUAGAAGGUACAUGUCUGAGUUGCACCUGAGAAUGACCCAGAGGACUCUGAGUGAUGUGAUCCUUUAGAGAGAAUAGUGAAAUGCAAAUAUUAGAACUGGAAGUGAAUCCUCAUGAGGUCUUACGAUAGUAAAAAUGUUCUCCUCAUCCUUGUCCUAUAGUUGCAGUAUGAACACAUUUCCUUGAACGUUUCUUCACAUGUUUUUGUUAUUGCUGAAGUGAGCUGAUGUUUUCAUGGUAUUGGUGGAUGUACCUGGGACAGUGCUGAACUACAAUCUCUGUAGCUCAACUUUCUUGUUCCCACUGUUUCUCAACAAGGCUUGGGCAGGGGAAUGGGCCACAGGGGAAUAGCUGGUGAAACAGGAGAGACACCUUGAUACAAGAGCCAUUUGAAGGAAUAUUAAUUAGCAAGCAGCUAGUUCUGGACAAUUGAAUUUCGGCUCCAGAUGUUCUCAUUCUGACUAAGUGCUUUAGCAAAAUGCUUAAUUGAUUACUAUCUCAUGAGCUCUGUGUGUGUGUGAUAAAAACUGAGACUGCUGAGUUAGAGGGGUUGUCUGUUGAUAGCAACACAGCACAGUAUUUCCUCACCUUUUAAAACUUACUCGUUUUUUAUCAUAGGGAAACCGGGCAAGGUUUCAAAAACGUUCUUUAAUUUGUAAUCUUUAUUGUAGUCACCGUGCUGGUUAAAGUCACUAAAGGCCCAAGUAUACAAGGAUGAAAUCAAAUAAAGACACAUCUGUGUUUGGUGUGAAAGGCCUUUGAGCAUUGUUAAAAUGAGGGACUGUUAAUUUAAGGCCUUCUUGAUUUCUGUACAUCUUUAUAACAGGUACAAGGACAGGGGGACAAAUUAAAAAUGAAAUAGACUGUUGGGAUAAAAUGAAAUCAACCUGAGUUUUUGCCCUAGGCUGUAAUUGAACCGGAGCUGAAGUUCAAAUAAGAAUUUUAUUUAUUUAUUUUCAAGCUGGCCUUUGAGCCAAUGAAGCUCAGAAAUGUCAAGCAAGUAGAAAGGGUUGUUACAGCUCACACCUUGGGUGGGGGGGUAGAAUCCAAGUGCUGCAAGGCAAGGGAUGUUUUAUAAUGUGUAAAAUGAUAUUUUGCAAUGAGGUUAGAUGGUGGCAGAGUUUUGACUUGGAUUCUUGCAACUGGAUGGGAUGAGGGUUUGUUGUUUUGUUUUUUUUUUUUCCUACUUUUUUUUGGGGUGUGGGUUGUUUUUGUUUUUGGGUUUUGGUUUGUUUUUUUUUUGGCAGACUGUAUACAACUUCUUGUGAAAUCAUUGAGAUCUCUUCAUUGAAGUUCAGUGGAAGCUGGCUUGACUCUAAUGGAGAUAAUGGCCAUUAAAAAAAAAAAAAGUUUUUUUCAUGAUAAUUAGUAGAUUUGUUAUCAGUUGAUCCAGUGUGGUUUUUCCCUUGGAAAAUGCACUGAUCUCUAUGGAAUAACCCCUGAGUUUUUGGUCUCAUUCCUUUUGCAUACUACAGAACUUCUACUGAGUGCCGUAGAAUAAAAUUUGUUCCUAAAGAAAUGCGAGGGUUUUUUCCCAAAAGCACGGAACAUAAUUAAUGGAUGUGACUUCUGCACCAAAAAAAGUCAUAUUGGUAGGUAAUAUUAGUGUAUUGUGCUGGGAGAGCAAUUGUAUAUUUUAUUUUGCCUUUCCAGAGUUGCUUGGCAUGAAUUUCUGCAGCAUUAUGAAGCUGUUAUGAAGACCUCAGUGCUACUCGUGACCUUUGGAAAAUGUGGGAUUUAAUAAGAGAAAGGGCUCUGAGGUUGAUUUGCUGAAAUACCCACUACUUAUUCCUUGGCAUUUGGUUAUGCCGGAUGCUUUUGUUCCAACUGGGGUUGCUCAUCUGUGAGCAACAAACUAGUGGCACAAAUCCCCAUGCAUGACCUUCACGAUCUUCUGUGGCCUAAGAAGGUUCACACCCCACUUAAUUUGCAGAGACUGUCUGGAUCUUCCAGUCUGACAUCACUGAUGUAUGUGGCAGCAGGUAAAUGAAAAUAAAAGGCCAAUUUGAGGGCAGCUAUUUCUGACAUGAGAAUUUAGGAGUAACGAAUUGAUUCUUUUGAAAAAUAGCUAUUUUUAGUGCUCAUGGAGGGUUGUUUUCUAGGGACUAGUGACAGGCUGUGCUGCCAAUGUGUGUAGGUUGAUUUUGGAGAAGCAGCCAGCCAGUUUGUAUGGGGGCUGAUGUCUUGCAAACUCAUGAGAGCAUGCUGGCACAGGAGACUUUCUAUUAGACUAGGACAACACAAACUGUAGCUGAACUGUGCCUUUUUACAGAUGGUCCUAAUCCUAAACCUAUUCCAUUUCAAGUUCAACUGAUCCUCGUCCUUUUAGGCUAUGAACUGACUGGCAAGACUUACACCAUCUCAUGGCUCACAUGGGACUGGGAUCCAAAUAUCUAGAAUGUCAUUAAGUCAGAUUUGGGCAUCAAAUUUGAGCCUCUGGCAGCAGGAUGUCAAAUCCUGGGCUGAGCCUCUUCUGGCUUUGAGUUCCCGAGCUCAAAAUGACAGACUGUUCCUACAGCAAGCAAACUGCUGCUCCAAAAGAAGAGAUCAGUGGGAGCAGUUGGGCAUUGACGAGCAAAGGCCGAGUGCCUGCUCCAUGAUGUUUAGGUCUUUGUGAUAAUAAUUAGAUCUUAAAAUGUGUCAAUUCUGUAUAGGGCAAAUCAUCAGCAUAGGCCAGCAGCCUGUUUCCAUGGGAGUGAGUGUGUCUGCUGCUGUGUGACUUGCAUAAGAGCUAGCUAAUGCAGCUGUGACCCUGCAUAGCUGUAUCUCAGCUUGUAAGCUGUGGAAGCAGGAUGGGAAUGAUGUGAAAAUGAAGGACUCUUGCUACCUCCUGAUUUCUGCUGUCUUCAUCACUUCUGACUUUCAUAAAACCUUCCCCUGCAGAGGUGCAGUCAGUGUUGCUGCUAUAAAGGCAGUGAGGAACACUGCCAGUGUCCAGGGGUCCUCAGAGAACAGCUUUCUUUUCCCGUCAGAAAAACUGUGGCUAUGAAUUACCAUUUGUAUGUUGCUUUGAGAGAACAGAAAUGUUACGUCUGUGUUCCUUUCUGUUUCUGCCACUCUCUUGCUACCUCAAUGGUAUUCAUGCUAUGAGGAAGGACGAGACCACUUUCCUUGGGAAAGAGGAGGUAUUGAGGUAACCAGGGAUGAAUGCAGAACCAGGACAAGGAGAAAUGGUCGUAUGGACUGUAAAACUGAGCCAUUGCACUAUACUGAAGUCAAGCUUUCUCUGUGCAUUGAUGCAUCCCUGUUAUUUAGGGGAACCAUGGCAAGCAAAUUCAUUUGUUGCAUAUACCUUCUCCAGACCAAGGAGGGGAAAAUUCUCCUUCCCAUGAUCUCCACUUUAUCAAAGACUGACUCAAUCAUCUCUGUUCAAGAGGAUGAAGAGAAGAAUUUGGUGAUAUAUAGAAAUGGCUGAGUCACGGCCUGAACUACUGAUUGAACACCUGGGGAAAGGACCCGGUCAGCUCUGGAAGCACAGGUGAAGGCAAUUCAGCUGUGUGAUCAGAAGGGGUGGAGCCUGGUUGCACCUCACUUUGCACCUCAUUGAAGUGCUGACCUCCACUGCAGAAGGAUCUCUGGUUGGGGAUCUCCUCCUUGUGCUUUUUUCCUGCGACCAUAGAGAGAUGUUGAAAGCUUCUGGAUGACAGAGCAGGAGAGGCCCUUAUGUUGCAAGGACUCGGUGACCACAAGGGGACCAAAGAUCUCUUCUAGCAAAAACAACAACAACAAAAAAGCCCAAAUUCAGGAGGCAGAAUCCACUGAAGAUGCUGGAAAGCUGCAUAGCUGAAACUGUGAAUGAAAGAGAAGACUGUUUACCAGGCAAUAGGGAAACUCCCAGCACAUGUUCUCAGAAUCACCUGUCUGCAAUUCAGCACCCCGUGGACACAGGCGCAGGCUUGAGAUGAGGCAGUGCAGGCUCUUUUCUGACCCCACAAUGUAUGCAUCAGGGGAC